CAUCCAUCGAGACCGGCUGAGGGACAGGCCCUUUGAAGCCGGGGCAACCCACCACUGUGCGAGCAGUGCGAAGGUGCCAAAUCCUGCGGUGACCCCGUGUCGCCGGAAGAUGGUUG
rnacentral:ncRNA from 2 species